GAGGAUGGGGAUCUGUGAUGCAGUAGCUGUUGCCAAAAUUUUAGAUGCAACACUUGUAAUUCCGUAUCUUGAAGUAAAUCCAGUUUGGCAGGAUUCAAGUUCCUUUGCAGAUAUAUUUGAUGUUGAUCACUUUAUCAGUGUCUUGAGUGGUGAUAUUUCUAUAGUUAAAGAGCUUCCCAGUGACUACUCCUGGAGUACCAGAGAAUAUUAUGCAACAGGCAUACGUCCUACUAGAAUUAAGACUGCA
rnacentral:misc_RNA from 1 species